ACUUUUUAUUUUAUUUUAUUUAAUUCAAUAUCUACCUACUCCCAUACCCACUACACCCACCUACUCCCAUACCUACUACACCCACCUUUUCGCAACUUACAUAGCUGGGUUGAUGCUUCCAUCUUCCAACCCACAACAAUCAAUUCAAGAAAUGCUUUGCAGAUCAUCCCAGGCCCCCAGCUCAAAGAACCAUCACAAGGUUGAGCAGUUGAUGGAAUGGAAUGAUGUUGAGCGGGUGUUCCUUUGACAUUUCAAGAAAUGUAACCUUGAGUAUACAUCUUCAUAUGUAUAUCUCACACGUUUUCCGCUGCAAAACACUUUGAUUAGGAUAACUCUAUGUUAUGAAGUUGUGACACGUGUUAUUGGGUAACCCACUUUAAUCAGUUCUCCUUUAUGUGUAUGUGUUAUAAGUAUCCAAAUGAUCAUAUAUGAUCCUAGCUUUUUAUUUAUGAGUGACAUUUCCAUAUACUUUAAUGUUAAGUAAUUGUCCAUUU